rnacentral:rRNA from 1 species
AACGAACGCUGGCGGCGUGCUUAACACAUGCAAGUCGAACGGAAAGGCCCUGCUUUUGUGGGGUGCUCUAGUGGCGAACGGGUGAGUAACACGUGAGUAACCUGCCCUUGACUUUGGGAUAACUUCAGGAAACUUGGUCUCAUACCGGAUAGGAGCUCCUGCUGCAUGGUGGGGGUUGGAAAGUUUCGCCGGUUGGGGUUGGACGGGCGUCUUAUCAGCUUGUUGGUGGGGUAGUGUCUUACCAAGGCUUUGACGGGUAGCCGGCCUGAGAGGGAGAACGGCCAGAUUGGGAGUGAGAGACGGACCAGACUCAUACGGGAGGGAGGAGUGAGGAAUAAUGAACAAUGGGCGGAAGACAGAUGCAGCAACGAAGGGUGCGGGAUGGAGGCAUUCGGGUGGUAAACAGCGUUCGUCUGUGACGAAGCGUGAGUGAAGGUAAUGGGGAAAGAAGCACCGGCUAACUACGU